AAAAAGAAAAACCGCGGGUUUGUGUGCCAAUGUUUGACUGUCCGUCUUAUAUAAAAUUUUUUAUAAUUAGUAUUUUCAUUGUUGUUAGAUGAUAAAAUAUGAUGAAUACUUUAUGCGUGACUUAUCUUUUUAAUUUUUUUCAUAAUUUUUUUUAAAUAAGACGGACGUCAAACAUUAGACACGGAAACCAGCGUUUGUU
rfam:Oryza barthii chromosome 3, whole genome shotgun sequence.